rfam:Myotis lucifugus cont2.24556, whole genome shotgun sequence.
GCUGGUAUGCUCAGUGGUUGGAGCAUUGGCCUGUGCACCGAAGGAUUGCAGGUUCGAUUCCUGCCCCCGGUU